rnacentral:tRNA from 1 species
GCUGGUGUGGCUCAGUCGGUAGAGCAGCUCACUCGUAAUGAGCAGGUCGUCCGUUCGAAUCGGAUCACCAGCU